CAUACGGGUGGCAGCAGUGGGGAAUAUUGGACAAUGGGCGAAAGCCUGAUCCAGCCAUGCCGCGUGUGUGAAGAAGGCCUUCGGGUUGUAAAGCACUUUCAGUGGGGAAGAAAGCCUUGGGGCUAAUACCCUCGAGGAAGGACAUCACCCACAGAAGAAGCACCGGCUAACUCCGUGCCAGCAGCCGCGGUAAUACGGAGGGUGCGAGCGUUAAUCGGAAUUACUGGGCGUAAAGCGCGCGUAGGCGGUCUGAUAAGCCGGUUGUGAAAGCCCCGGGCUCAACCUGGGAACGGCAUCCGGAACUGUCAGGCUAGAGUGCAGGAGAGGAAGGUAGAAUUCCCGGUGUAGCGGUGAAAUGCGUAGAGAUCGGGAGGAAUACCAGUGGCGAAGGCGGCCUUCUGGACUGACACUGACGCUGAGGUGCGAAAGCGUGGGUAGCAAACAGGAUUAGAUACCCGAGUAGUC
rnacentral:rRNA from 1 species